UUUUUUUUUUUUUUUUUUUUUUUUUCUUCUCGGAGCUGGGGACCGAACCCAGGGCCUUGCGCUUCCUAGGCAAGCGCUCUACCACUGAGCUAAAUCCUCAACCCGUCAUCUGCAUUUUCAAAACACCACUAACACAGAUUAUCAGGAUUAGCCUCUUAUAGAAUCUUACACUCAUUACACCUCUCUCUCCCCUAUCAUAUUCCAUCACCUGCCUUUCAAAGUCUGUAGCUAUGUAAUGUGUCAUUGUUUAUGAUAUUUACCCUGCUGGGCCCCGGGACUCCACAACUGAUUUCUCUCAUCAAGCAACAGCGUUGCACCUGUUGGUCCAUCCUCCCCCAAUGCUCUGCUAAGUCUCCUCCACUCUCCACUCUUAGAUCUGGACGUCCAUGGGAUCAGUUGUUAGACUCCACUCCUCUGAGCACCUUGUCCUCUUUCCCCCAUCCGUCUGAAUUCUGCUAUUAACUAUGCCUCACUGAAGCUGUAUAACACAAGAGCCCCACCUCCCAGGGGUGUUUGGGUGUGAUUUCCUCAAUAGCACUCGGGUUUGAAGCGCACCAACAUUUAUCAAUAUGACUAAUGAGAUAACCCAUGGUAAAAAUACCCAAAGUCAGUAGCAAUUGCAAUAGAAGUAAAUCUAAUUUUCUCCCCAUAUCCCACACUAAAUCACAAGCCUCAUAAAGCAACCUGUCAAUCUUGUUGACAAAAAAUAAGUUCAAGGGCCUACAUACCCAAGUACUUGACAAAUAAAUUAAUAUAUGCAUGAAAUUAUCUACCACACAGUAGAAAACAAGCAAUCCAUAUUUCUGCAGGAGAAAAAUGUUAUAGCUUAAAGAUUUGAGAAAAUAUCUGAAUUUUAAGCUAUGUUUUCGAGGUAGUAUCUUGAAUAGAAUCAUGAGAUCAGCAGACUACUAUAUUCAUUUAUUUUAAAUGUAACAUUUCUGAGCUUAAAUCAAGCAGAGUUUCUCACUGCUGUAGUGCUGGCACCCUUUAAGCUGAGCCAGGAAGGUUGUGUUGAAUUCAAGACCACCUCAUACAAAGAAUGAGACAUUGUCUCAACAAAACUGAAUUAAUUCAUUAACUCUGAAUUUAAGAACACUUUCUAUAUCCAACAAUGACAAUUAAACAAACAUAUAUUUUACAGAGCGUUUAUUCAUUGAUAUAGGUUGAAAUUAACUCAAAAGCUCUAUUAUGAGUAUCAACAGGUAGAUCAGGAGGUCUCUGCCAGAAGAAACAGCCCCAGAUUUAAUUCCCAUCAGCUCAUAGCCAGUUGUAACUAAUUCUAAGGGAUCUGACAUUUUAUGUGCACAAAUAUAUAUACAAGCAACAUAUCCAUUCAUAAGAUAACCUUUUAAAAAUGUGCAUCAUUUUUUUAUCUCUUAGCUUUGAGAUAGUAAUGCAGAAACUGCUCAUUAGAUGUUUGAUUUGGAACAGUAGAGUGACUUUCUCCUUAAUGAUGGGCAGGGGAGUAAUUUAAGGAGGAGGAGACAUAGUUUGCAGAUGAGUCUGAGGAAAGAAAAUCCCAUGGUUCUGUUAGGGAUGAGGUACAGAGAAGACCACAGAACAAAGAGGAGGCAGAGUUUGUGCUGUUUUCAUCAGGAUGCAGUCUCAGCAUCCAUCAUAGAUGUGCACUUAUGGAAAGGUGUCCAGCUAAAACUACCUGUGGUCAUGUAGCCUCCUAAAAUAGCUAAUAUGAGUAAUUAGUAAGAAUUUAUAGAGACUGUGAUUAGGACAAGAGGAAUGGAUACUUUAGAAUUUAUUUAGGCAAAAUCAGUAAUGAAAUAGAUAAAAUGAGGAAAGAUUGAAUUUGCAUGCUCAAUCUAAUAAUACAUUUAAAUAUGAAUGUGUGUGUGCGUGAGAGAGAGAGAGAGAGAGAGAGAGAGAGAGAGAGAGAGAGAGAGAGAAGAGAGGAAGCUGAUAAUAAGUUUAGCUGUAAAUGUAUGAAAUUAGAAGAAUCAGAAAAAAAUCCCUGAAGGUGAUCAGUAUAAAAUUGGAGGAAUUUAUGGAUUAGUGUUCAGAAAAGAAGACUGAUAAAAGACUUGGAAUUGGUUAGAAAACAAAUAACAAAAACAAUACAUAAUCAAAUAUGAAAACAAAAAUACACGUAUAAUUUUCCCAAAAGGGUGCUUACUUUGAAUUAGAUGAAAUGAAUAACUUAGUUUGCAAGGUAAGGACAUAAAAAGGUAAGAUAACUUGAAUGUCCCUAAAGAAGUCUGGAAGUCAAUGGCCAAACCUGACAUCAAAAAACCAAGAACAGCUGUAUCCCUUUAAAUGUUUUCAAAUGGAGACCAGUGACUCCCCCAGCUUUGAACAGUGGGUGAUUGUUACAUGUUGCUCACGUAUCCAGAAUUCCAUCAGUAAGGCGGCCUCCAAUAGCUGACCCAGGAGCGCCAUGAUCUCAUCAGGGAAACAGUCCCCUUUGUCUCCUUCUGCCCCACCCUCCUGUUUCCAUCAGCCUUGUGCCUCUUACUCUCCUUGUGAGAAUGAUGACUGACUGGAAGUAGAAAUGAGGGCCACGUGCUCCUCAUCCCUAUCUAGACAAGAGACAGUUGGAGAUGGAAAGGUCUUGCCUAAGGAUGAAGAUGACCCCACCCCUCUCCAGCGUACCCCUUAGCUUCCAUUGGCACAGACUGAGUUACCUGAUGAUGAUUCCCGAAACAACCACUGACUUGGAAGAACAAUUAGGUUUCCAUUUUCUAGAGCUGAUCGUGGAGUAAUUUCAUAGAUGCAUUGGUCAUUGGUAGUGAGGGAUGAAUGACUGAUUCUUCAGGUAAAAAGGAAAUGGGAAUUGGAUGGGUACGUAACAAGUCAAUAAAACUCACCACCUAAAGAUUAGGUAAACCUGGGAGAGUGCAGUCUGAGAAGUCACUGACAUUGGCAGAUGACAAAGAGACAUCAGAGAAAGAACGAAAGAAUGGGACAAAGCCAAAUGACAUCCCACAUCAGCUCAAUAGUAAGGAAGCAACUACCCUGGAGCCCCAUUGACGAGUCUAUUGCAAUUUUUAAUUGGGUUGUGAUGAAGACAUUACCAGUGGGUAGUUGAAAGAAAUCUAUCACCUCCUCAAGCUCUGCACUCCCUAACAAUCAGAGAGGAGGAAGGGCAGGGGGCUAGUUUUUACCUCAGAAACUCAGUAUGGUUGUGUUUGCACACUACUGUGUACAUGCACAUGAAUGCAGGUGACUAUAGACUCCAUAUGAAGGGAGAGGACAGAUCCUCUGGAGUUGCAGUUACAGGGGUUCAUGAACCACCCGAUGUGGUUGCUAGGGAUAGGAGUCAGGUCCUCUACAAGAACUCCAAGUACUCUUAACCUCUGAGUUCUCUCUCCAGCAGUUUUUAUACUGGGACUGGAGAAAUGGCUUAGCAGCUGAAAACACUUGUUGCUGCUCUUGCAAAGAAACUCCCUCUUCUCUCCUCCUUGGGUACUGCUUACAGGUGCACAUGCAUGCAAUCCAGGAGAUGUGCAACAGUUGAGAUAACCCUUGUGUCUCCUGACUAUGACUCCCGUGGGCUCUGGAAGUACUCUUAGCUUAUUUAAGGUAAGCUAAUUCAAGCUAAGACGUUCAGUAAUUAUAUGUAUUCAGUGCACUUUUGAUCUGAAGUCUUUUUUUGAAAUGUGCAAUUUUUUAAAAAUGCACUAGAACAUCAACCCAUUAUAAAUUGAAGAAGGUUUGUAAUAACAUCUCCAAGUCAACUUUAGUAAAGAGAAAAUUUUGGUUCCUAAGCAGCACCAUUCUUCGUGUAGAAAUAUUUCUGCACACAUUGUCUGCACUCACUCUUCUCGUUGGCUAACUUGGUAGUUGAUGGACGACAAUCUCACUGGCAAGUUUCCACAGAUUGCGGAGGUCCAUGUCCUUAGAGUGAAUGGCAGGAUGGCCUUUUAUUGUCAAGACUCACAUGAUUGGUGCCUUACUGUCAAGGUUUCAGAAGCUAUUAGAUGAUUUAAAUGUAAAACACACCGUGUUCCUCUCAGAUGUUCGUGCCUAGGACUCACUGAACAUCUGUACCAUAGCCCAAGGUUUUUCUCACGCUGUGUUUCACAUGCCUGUUUCGGAUUUUAGAAGCUGCCAUUUGUAUUAUCCAUGGAGAAGUUGCAAAGUCAUCAUGUUCUGGAAAAGAACUGGAAAUUAUUAGUUGGCAGGUAGGAGAUCAGAAAGCUCCAGGUUGUCCUCUGAGACUUUGUGAGUUCCAGUCCCAAUUCUUCCAGUCUGGGCUACAAGGUUGCACCAUUCAUUAUUAUUAUUAUAUUAUAUUAUUAUUAUUAUAUCAUCAUCAUCAUCAUUAUGUGUCAAGACUUCCAUCUUGAAGAAGGAUCAUAGCAUUUUUACUCCACACCCAGUGUUUGCAAACUGCCCAUCAUUUCCUAAGGGAUCUUAAGAAACGGAAGCAUUGAGUUCUCUUCAGGCCGCGGCGGUGCCUCCCACCUGGAAAAAGACAGCUCUGUAACGGAAUCCCAGCCAGCGUAUGCAUUAUCUGCCCCUCUGUCUGCCUCUGUGAUCAUACAGCAAAUUAAAAGGUCUCCCAGGCUCGGCCUGCCUUCCAGCUGCCAGCCCCUGGGAGACACGAGGGAGCCAGGAGGGACCAGGUGGAGCAGUGUUGAGUUGCACCGAACACACAGUGCAAGGAGAUUGGCCAUAGCUCCCCAAUUGAAUAUUUAUACCAACCCCAUUUCUCCUCUUGCUCUUUGGCACUGACCACAGUGCUGAGCUACUGCUGAUUUCAAGGGCGCUGCAUUGUGUUGGAUCUGCUCUAUGAACUAUUACGCCAGAUGAGAAAUGGGCCACAGGGUCCUAUUGCUGAGAUGGCUUGUUGACUUUUCUUUCCCCGUGGAGACUAUCCUGUUACAGUGUCCAAAGGAAGGGGCAAUGAGGGCGGGGACAUUUCCUGACAUCAUCUGGCGCUGCUGACCUGAGAGGAUGUAUACAAACUCCACCACUGCUUUUAGCAGAACGGAAAGGACCUGAAAUUACAUUAAAGAAAGCACGGCACUC